UACGGAGGGUGCAAGCGUUAAUCGGAAUUACUGGGCGUAAAGCGCGCGUAGGUGGUUUGUUAAGUUAGAUGUGAAAGCCCCGGGCUCAACCUGGGAAUAGCAUUUAAGACUGGCAGGCUAGAGUAUGGCAGAGGUAAGUGGAAUUUCAGGUGUAGCGGUGAAAUGCGUAGAGAUCUGAAGGAACACCAGUGGCGAAGGCGACUUACUGGGCCAUAACUGACGCUGAGGUGCGAAAGCGUGGGUAGCAAACAGG
rnacentral:misc_RNA from 1 species